rnacentral:rRNA from 1 species
UACGUAGGGUGCGAGCGUUAAUCGGAAUUACUGGGCGUAAAGCGUGCGCAGGCGGUUUUGUAAGUCAGAUGUGAAAUCCCCGGGCUUAACCUGGGAACUGCGUUUGAAACUACAAGGCUAGAGUGUAGCAGAGGGGGGUGGAAUUCCACGUGUAGCGGUGAAAUGCGCAGAUAUUAGGAGGAACACCGGUGGCGAAGGCGCCACUCUGGAUCGAUACUGACGCUGAGGAACGAAAGCAUGGGUAGCAAACAGG